UACGUAGGGGGCAAGCGUUGUCCGGAAUCAUUGGGCGUAAAGAGCGUGUAGGCGGCUCGAUAAGUCUGUUCUGAAAGUCCAGGGCUCAACCCUGGGAUGCGGAUGGAUACUGUCGAGCUCGAGUCCGGAAGAGGCGAGUGGAAUUCCUGGUGUAGCGGUGAAAUGCGCAGAUAUCAGGAGGAACACCAAUGGCGAAGGCAGCUCGCUGGGACGUGACUGACGCUGAGACGCGAAAGCGUGGGGAGCAAACAGG
rnacentral:rRNA from 1 species